rnacentral:rRNA from 1 species
GGGCUAGGUAAUGGGUGGGGUGGUUGGCAGGGUCAAGUUGGGGUGUGGCGUGGGUAGGGGCUAGGUCUAAGGGAGGUGGAGGAGAGGAGAGGAGACGGCGGCCCUAGGGGAGGGCCAAGAAGAGGCCUUUCCCCUUCUCUUCGUCACACACAGCCGCGCCGCCUCGUUACCGCCUGUUCGGCUCGGCCCGCGACCACGACAUGCGGCGGCUGGUGCGCCGCGACGAGCGGCCCCCGCCUCCCCCCUUCCCGGUCGAGCUGCGCAAGCGGAGGUAGCGGAGGACGCCGAAGGAGAGGCAGGCGUGGGGGCGCCAGUUGCUCCUACCUCCCCUGUCCUUGUCGCUGAGCUAAGAGCUCGACCGCGUCGACGAGCUGCACAUGCUACGGGAGAUGGGACGGUUCCUACCCCUUUAACGGGCCCACCUAGGCGUCCUCGAUCAUCAGGGGUUCGAUAGGCUCUCCAAGUACCCCGACUCUCGACGAUACCAGUCGUUAACGGGGUCACAAUCGAGUAAGCGCCGCUUAGAACCGAAGGUGGAAAACCAAAACACUUCACUUCAACUUUUUACGGUAAGAUUACGUACUGUCCUGUCCUGAUUUAAUAAAAUGUCAUCUACGAUGUAGUCAGAUACACGGUAAAACAACACAAUGCGUCAGUUGGUACCUCGUUACAUAACAUGUUACUUUCGUGUAGACACAUGUUACUGUGCAGAUCUGAAUGUGUUUAUUGAAAUAAUACGUAUAGGACGUCCUUAGUAGUAGGUUACGAUGACCGUGUCACCGUUGUUCCUCAUUGUGCAAGACUAAACCGGUUCCUCAAGAGAAAACUCCUUAAAUACUUCCAUACACUGUCUAAAUAACGGGCAUUCGAACACGUUGCCAAAAUACUGUUUCGGGAACGCAAACCAGAUUUCCCGAUACGUUUCGACGAACACCACCGCUGCGACUGCCAGCAGCUCUCCAAGCACCUGACCUACCACAGCACCGACGGCUACCUAAGGAAGCAGGCGACCACCACUCCGUGCUCGUGCUGUAGCUAGCUCCGGACGACCUCGACUCCCAGUCCCGCUCCCUGCACUGCCGCAGUGUUGAGUUCCGCCGCCGGCGGCAGCCAGUCCACACCGAGCGCUCCGACGAGCCACACAAAGCAGCGUCGAUGUCCGGUGCACUAGUCCGGCCCGUCCGAAGCGUGUAACUGAUCCGUGUGUUGUGAUACACUAUCCUUAAUAUGUACUCAACGGCGAUCGAUGUUACUCUUUAACACACUACCACCUAUGUUGUUAACACACUGUUUUACCUUAACGAAGUAAAAAAAAUUAAGGAUUAUUCAAUGAUCAUCG